GAUGAACGCUGGCGGCGUGCCUAAUACAUGCAAGUAGAACGCUGAAGGAAGGAGCUUGCUCUUUCCGGAUGAGUUGCGAACGGGUGAGUAACGCGUAGGUAACCUGCCUGGUAGCGGGGGAUAACUAUUGGAAACGAUAGCUAAUACCGCAUAACAGUAGAUGUUGCAUGACAACUAUUUGAAAGGGGCAAUUGCUCCACUACCAGAUGGACCUGCGUUGUAUUAGCUAGUUGGUGAGGUAACGGCUCACCAAGGCGACGAUACAUAGCCGACCUGAGAGGGUGAUCGGCCACACUGGGACUGAGACACGGCCCAGACUCCUACGGGAGGCAGCAGUAGGGAAUCUUCGGCAAUGGACAGAAGUCUGACCGAGCAACGCCGCGUGAGUGAAGAAGGUUUUCGGAUCGUAAAGCUCUGUUGUAAGAGAAGAACGAGUGUGAGAGUGGAAAGUUCACACUGUGACGGUAUCUUACCAGAAAGGGACGGCUAACUACGUG
rnacentral:rRNA from 1 species